UGCAAGUCGAACGCUGAAGCUCACAGCUUGCUGUGGGUGGAUGAGUGGCGAACGGGUGAGUAACACGUGAGUAACCUGCCCCCGAUUUCGGGAUAAGCCCGGGAAACUGGGUCUAAUACCGGAUAUGACCACCGGCCGCAUGGUUGGUGGUGGAAAGUUUUUCGAUCGGGGAUGGGCUCGCGGCCUAUCAGCUUGUUGGUGGGGUAAUGGCCUACCAAGGCGACGACGGGUAGCCGGCCUGAGAGGGCGACCGGCCACACUGGGACUGAGACACGGCCCAGACUCCUACGGGAGGCAGCAGUGGGGAAUAUUGCACAAUGGGGGAAACCCUGAUGCAGCGACGCAGCGUGCGGGAUGACGGCCUUCGGGUUGUAAACCGCUUUCAGCAGGGAAGAAGCGUAAGUGACGGUACCUGCAGAAGAAGUACCGGCUAACUACGUGCCAGCAGCCGCGGUAAUACGUAGGGUACGAGCGUUGUCCGGAAUUAUUGGGCGUAAAGAGCUCGUAGGUGGUUGGUCACGUCUGCUGUGGAAACGCAACGCUUAACGUUGCGCGGGCAGUGGGUACGGGCUGACUAGAGUGCAGUAGGGGAGUCUGGAAUUCCUGGUGUAGCGGUGAAAUGCGCAGAUAUCA
rnacentral:rRNA from 1 species